rnacentral:lncRNA from 1 species
AAGAAGGACAGGAGUGGUUCCACUAGCCGAUGCUUAAGCGUCAGCCCUUGCCUCCUCUUCCCCAUAAACCUCAUCUGCACCUGAAGAAGAGUAAUCUUUUGCCGAAUCUACAUCCGCCGAAGCCUAUAAAUGUGAAAUAUUUAGUUCCAUCCGGAAUGAAUUUCCCACCUAUCUAUGCUUAAGCGUCAGCCCUUGCCUCCUCUUCCCCAUAAACCUCAUCUGCACCCGAAGAAGAGCAAUCUUUUGCCGAAUCUACAUCCGCCGAAGCCUAUAAAUGUGAAAUAGUUAGUUCUAUCCGGAAUGAAUUUCCCACCUAUCUUGGGAUAAGUGGUUACCGGAAGUUUGAAGCUGACUUUAAUGAGCAACACUUCCUCGCAGGGUCACCAAAGCAGGCUUCUUUAGCCGCUUUGAUUGUUAGAGCUCACUGA